rnacentral:rRNA from 1 species
CACGUAGGGCGCGAGCGUUGUCCGGAAUUAUUGGGCGUAAAGAGCUCGUAGGCGGCCUGUUGCGUCCGCUGUGAAAGCCCGGGGCUUAACCCCGGGUCGGCAGUGGAUACGGGCAGGCUAGAGGUAGGUAGGGGAGAAUGGAAUUCCCGGUGUAGCGGUGAAAUGCGCAGAUAUCGGGAGGAACACCGGUGGCGAAGGCGACUUACUGGACUGUAACUGACGCUGAGGCAUGAAAGCGUGGGGAGCAAACAGG